rnacentral:misc_RNA from 1 species
UGGUUCUCGCAUCGAUGAAGAACGCAGCGAAACGCGAUAGGUAAUGUGAAUUGCAGAAUUCAGUGAAUCAUCGAAUCUUUGAACGCACAUUGCGCCUUCUGGUAUUCCGGGAGGCAUGUCUGUUUGAGCGUCAGUACCCACUCUUGUCAGAUCUUUUUUCUGUCAGGUUCUGAGGGCUCUCCUAAACCCGGAGUCCUUUAAUGUUGCACGCUUGCGGACUUUCAAACCCAGCACGACGUAGUAAAAUACCCCGCUGUGUGAUGGUUUGGAAGCCGCCUGAUCUCAAAAUACUCUUGUAGUUUGACCUCAGAUCAGACAAGGAUACCCGCUGA